rnacentral:rRNA from 1 species
GACGAACGCUGGCGGCGUGCUUAACACAUGCAAGUCGAACGGAAAGGCCCUGCUUUUGUGGGGUGCUCGAGUGGCGAACGGGUGAGUAACACGUGAGUAACCUGCCCUUGACUUUGGGAUAACUUCAGGAAACUGGGGCUAAUACCGGAUAGGAGCUCCUGCUGCAUGGUGGGGGUUGGAAAGUUUCGGCGGUUGGGGAUGGACUCGCGGCUUAUCAGCUUGUUGGUGGGGUAGUGGCUUACCAAGGCUUUGACGGGUAGCCGGCCUGAGAGGGUGACCGGCCACAUUGGGACUGAGAUACGGCCCAGACUCCUACGGGAGGCAGCAGUGGGGAAUAUUGCACAAUGGGCGGAAGCCUGAUGCAGCAACGCCGCGUGCGGGAUGACGGCCUUCGGGUUGUAAACCGAUUUCGCCUGGGACGAAGCGUGAGUGACGGUAAUGGGUAAAGAAGCACCGGCUAAAUACGUG